AUUGAACGCUGGCGGCAUGCCUUACACAUGCAAGUCGAAUGGUAACAGGUCUUCGGAUGCUGACGAGUGGCGAACGGGUGAGUAAUACAUCGGAACGUGCCCGAGAGUGGGGGAUAACGAGGCGAAAGCUUUGCUAAUACCGCAUACGAUCUCAGGAUGAAAGCAGGGGACCUCAAGCCCUUGCGCUCACGGAGCGGCCGAUGGCAGAUUAGGUAGUUGGUGGGAUAAAAGCUUACCAAGCCGACGAUCUGUAGCUGGUCUGAGAGGACGACCAGCAACACUGGGACUGAGACACGGCCCAGACUCCUACGGGAGGCAGCAGUGGGGAAUUUUGGACAAUGGGCGCAAGCCUGAUCCAGCCAUGCCGCGUGCAGGAUGAAGGCCUUCGGGUUGUAAACUGCUUUUGUACGGAACGAAAAGACUCUGGUUAAUACCUGGGGUCCAUGACGGUACCGUAAGAAUAAGCACCGGCUAACUACGUGCCAGCCGCCGCAGUAAGAC
rnacentral:rRNA from 1 species